GCAUAUCAAUAAGCGGAGGAAAAGAAACCAACAGGGAUUGCCUCAGUAACGGCGAGUGAAGCGGCAACAGCUCAAAUUUGAAAUCUGGCCUCUUUGGGGUCCGAGUUGUAAUUUGUAGAGGAUGUUUCGGGCACCGCUCCGGUUUAAAUUUCUUGGAACAGAAUGUCAAAGAGGGUGAGAACCCCGUCUUGGACCGGCAGUAGGGCCCAUGUGAAACUCCUUCGACGAGUCGAGUUGUUUGGGAAUGCAGCUCAAAAUGGGUGGUAAAUUUCAUCUAAAGCUAAAUAUUGGCCAGAGACCGAUAGCGCACAAGUAGAGUGAUCGAAAGAUGAAAAGCACUUUGAAAAGAGAGUUAAACAGUACGUGAAAUUGUUGAAAGGGAAGCGCUUGCAACCAGACUUGCGCGCGGCGGUUCCCCCUUCCUUUUGGUUGGGUUAUUCCGCCGUGUCCAGGCCAACAUCGGUUCUGGGGGUCGGUUAAAGGCCUGGGGAAUGUAUCUACCCUUCGGGCGUAGACUUAUAGCCCCGGGUGUCAUGCGACCUCCCGGGACCGAGGAACGCGCUUCGGCUCGGAUGUUGGCGUAAUGGUUGUCAGCGACCCGUCUUGAAACACGGACCAAGGAGUCUAACAUCUAUGCGAGUGUUUGGGUGUCAAACCCGGAACGCGGAAUGAAAGUGAACGGAGGUAGGAAGCUUCGGCUGCACUAUCGACCGAUCCUGAUGUCUUCGGAUGGAUUUGAGUAAGAGCAUAGCUGUUGGGACCCGAAAGAUGGUGAACUAUGCCUGAAUAGGGUGAAGCCAGAGGAAACUCUGGUGGAGGCUCGCAGCGGUUCUGACGUGCAAAUCGAUCGUCAAAUUUGGGUAUAGGGGCGAAAGACUAAUCGAACCAUUUGGAAGCUGGU
rnacentral:rRNA from 1 species